rnacentral:rRNA from 1 species
UACAGAGGUCCCAAGCGUUGUUCGGAUUCAUUGGGCGUAAAGGGUGCGUAGGUGGCGCUGUAAGUCGGGUGUGAAAUUUCGGAGCUUAACUCCGAAACUGCAUUCGAUACUGCGGUGCUCGAGGACUGGAGAGGAGACUGGAAUUCAUGGUGUAGCAGUGAAAUGCGUAGAGAUCAUGAAGAAGACCAGUGGCGAAGGCGGGUCUCUGGACAGUUCCUGACACUGAGGCACGAAGGCCAGGGGAGCAAACGGG